AGAAUGAAGUCAAGUAUGACACUAAUAACAACGAGGAGGAGGGGGAACAGCUCGAUCUGGACAGCGGAGACGAAGCUCCAGAGGCCGACAGGCAGGCUCCAGACUCCGCAGAGGCAGGGGACGCGGGGGCAGAGGCUCCUGCCGCCGCCGCCGCCGCUGCCGCCGCCGCUGCCGCCGUGGGACCCUGUGCAUCCUCCAGCCACCACCCAGGGACCAGCCAGCCUACCUGCGGGUUGGAUCGUCCGGGGGAAGGUAGGGUCCAGGAGCCCAAAAUCUAUCCUGUGUCUGUGAUGUGCUGUGGACAGAAAUGACUUGAUUCAAGUUUGGCUGAGAUUCUCUCCUUUGUUCUGUUUUCCGUGGUUUUCAAUCUUGUCCAUCCACUUUUCUGUUUAUGUUCUGGAGGAAACAGGUGUGUUUUUUCCUAAUAAAAAUGGCCUCAUCAUAGUUUGUCACUAUGUUACAUGAAACAUUAUUUCAAAAUAAUGCUAUUUGAUAUGAAACAUACAAGUUUAAUGUGUGUUUUAAAGUUUGGAGGUGGAGUUGGUCACUUUUAUUCACUGACCGAUGGUCUGGUUGGUACCUUCACCAGCUUUCCAUGUGGUUAAUGAUCCCCCACUUCUGGCAGCUUCUACCCUACUCAUCUCAGUGGAGGAGCCACCCUGGGCUCAGCCAGGCUGUGUGCCCCCGGUCCCCAAGGUCACGCUCACCCCUCAGGUGCCCCAAAGCACGGUGCUCCCUGGCCUGGGGUUGCCCGGGCAAGCAGGGUGUGUCGGCCGGCCGAGUCCUGGAUGGCCGGGCGUGUUUGCCACGGUCUCCUUUCAUCCUCAGGAUAUGAAAAAGGACCAGGAGUGGAACCACUGAAACCCGGGGUCCUGUCGAGAGUCAACCCCUAUUCUGUCAUCGACAUCACGCCCCUCCAGGAAGACCAGCCGCCAGCCCCAGACCCGGACGCCGAGGGGGAGGGUGGGGGCCUGCAUGUGCCCAGCGGGUACUCGGUGCCAGUGCCCUGCGGCUAUGCCGUGCCCUCCAGCCUGCCGCUGCUGCUGCCGGCCUACACCAGUCCCGUGCUGCCCGCCCCGCCCGCCGACCCUGCAGAGACUCAGGAGGCGGCAGAAGACAGCCAGCUGAAUUCCUUGAGUUCUGAGGAUCCAGCAAACAGUGAGGAUCCAGACCAGAAGGAGGACAGCACCCUGGCCCGCUGGGUCGCGGAUCCGGCCAACACAGCCUGGAUGGAGAAUCCGGAGGAAGCCAUUUACGACGAUGUGCCAAGAGAAAAUUCAGACUCUGAGCCAGAUGAAAUGAUUUAUGACGACGUGGAGAACGGAGAUGAAGGCGGCCACAGCUCUCUGGAGUACGGGUGGAGCUCCAGCGAGUUCGAGAGCUACGAGGAGCAGAGCGACUCGGAGAGCAGGAGCGGGGUCCCCCGCUCCUUCCUGCGCGGCGACCACAGGAAGCAGAUGCAGAAACUGGUGAGGGCUGCAAGAGAGGGCACCAAGGACGGGCUGGAGAGGACAAAGGCUGCCGUGAAGCGGGGACGCUCGUUUAUCAGGACCAAAUCCUUCGUCUCUUCAGACCACAGAUCCUGUCUUGAAGAGGAGCAGAACGUGUUCAUCGACGUGGACUGCAGGCACCCCGAAGCCAUCCUCACCCCGAUGCCCGAAGGCUUGUCUCAGCAGCAGGUCGUAAGAAGGUACAUUCUGGGCUCGAUCGUAGAAAGCGAGAAAAACUACGUGGAUGCUCUGAAGAGGAUAUUGGAGCAAUAUGAGAAGCCGCUGUGGGAGAUGGAGCCCAAGGUGCUGAGCGAGAGGAAGCUGAGGACCGUCUUCUUCCGGGUCAAGGAGGUGCUGCAGUGCCACUGCCUGCUCCAGAUCGCGCUGGCCGGCCGCGUGGCUGAGUGGGACUCGGUGGAGAUGAUCGGAGACGUCUUCGUGGCCUCGUUUUCCAAAUCCAUGGUGCUGGAUGCUUAUAGUGAAUAUGUGAAUAAUUUCAGCACAGCUGUGGCAAUCCUUAAGAAAACGUGUGCUACAAAACCUGCUUUCCUUGAAUUUUUAAAGCAGUGUCAGGAGUCCAGCCCUGACCGCGUCACACUGCACAGCCUGAUGACGAAGCCCAUCCAGAGGUUCCCGCAGUUCAUCCUGCUGCUCCAGGACAUGCUGAAGAACACGCCCCGGGGACACCCUGACCGGCUGCCCCUCCAGAUGGCGCUGACGGAGCUCGAGACGCUAGCAGAGAAGCUGAACGAGAGGAAGAGAGACGCCGACCAGCGCUGUGAAAUCAAGCAGAUAGCAAAAGCCAUCAACGAGCGGUACCUGAACAAGCUUCUCAGCAGCGGCAGUCGCUACCUCAUCCGCUCUGACGACGUGAUAGAGACCGUCUACAAUGACCGGGGGGAGAUCAUGAAAACCAAGGAGCGCCGGCUCUUCAUGCUGAACGACGUGCUCAUGUGCGCCACGGUCAGCGCCCGCGCUUCCCACGACAGCAGUGCGGUGACGUCGGGCCAGAGGUACCUGCUGAAGUGGAGCGUCCCGCUCGGGCAGGUGGAGGUGGUCGAGUACGGCGGCGGCGAGGGCACGGCAGAGGGCGGCCGCUGUCCCGCGGGCCCUGCGCCCGAGAACCUGCUGGCACCCGGUGCCAAGUCCCACCGAGUCUACGUGGGGCCGGGGCAGCUGUAUCAAGACCUCCAAAACUUGCUGCAUGACCUCAGCGUCAUCGGCCACAUCACUCAGCUGGUCGGAAACCUCAAAGGAAACUAUCAGAACCUGAACCCGUCGGUGGCCCAGGACUGGAUGUCCGGCUUACAGAGGCUGAUUCUGAAGAAGGAAGAGGAGAUCCGAGCGGCCGACUGCUGCCGGGUGCAGCUGCAGCUCCCGGGGAAGCAGGACAAGUCCGGCCGGCCGACUUUCUUCACCGCCGUGUUCAACACCUUCACUCCCGCCAUCAAGGAGUCCUGGAUCAACAGCCUGCAGAUGGCCAAGCUCGCCCUGGAGGAGGAGAACCACCUGGGCUGGUUUUGCGUGGAGGAUGACGGGAACCAGAUCAGGAAGGAGAGACACCCGCUCCUUCUGGGACACAUGCCUGUGACGGUGGCCAAGCAGCAGGAGUUCAAGAUUGAAUGUGCUGUUUAUAAUCCUGAGCCGUACCUGAAUAAUGAGAAUCAGUCAGACUCGUUUUCCGUGGCUCACGGUUUCCUGUGGAUCGGGAGCUGCACCAGUCAGAUGGGGCAGAUCGCCAUCGUCUCCUUCCACAACUCCAGCCCCAAGGUCAUCGAGUGCUUCAACGUGGAGUCCCGCGUGCUGUGCAUGGUAUAUGUGCCCGCCGAGGACAGGCCCCGCGAGCCCGAGGGCGGGGGCCGGGUGCUGGGCGUGCCCGCUGUCUGCCUGGGGACGGAGGAGGGCAGCAUUUCCAUCUACAAGAGCAGCCAAGGCUGCAAGAAGCUGCGGCUGCAGCACUUCUUCACCCCGGAGAAGUCCACGGUCACGAGCCUGGCCUGCACGGCCCAGAGCCUGUACGUCGGCCUGGUCAACGGCACCGUGGCCAUCUACGCCAGAGCGAACGAUGGAUCCUGGAAUUCCGAGCCUCAAACGGUGAUUAAGUUAGGCGUCCUCCCAGUUCGAAGUCUGCUCUUGAUGGAAGACACGCUCUGGGCGGCGUCUGGAGGUCAAGUUUCCAUCAUCGGUGUGGAGACUCUCGCCGUGGAGGGCCAGCUGGAGGCCCACCAGGAGGAGGGCAUGGUGGUCUCACACAUGGCCAUCGCCGGCGUGGGCAUCUGGGUCGCCUUCACCUCGGGGUCCACGCUCCGCUUGUUCCACACGGAGACACUCAAGCACCUGCAGGACGUCAACAUCGCCACCCCCGUCCACCACAUGCUGCCAGGGCACCAGCGGCUGUCUGUGACCAGCCUGCUCGUCUGCCACGGCCUGCUGAUGGUGGGCACCAGCCUGGGUGUCGUGGUGGCCCUGCCUGUCCCACGUCUGCAGGGAAUCCCCAAGGUGACUGGACGGGGCCUGGUCUCCCACCACGCGCACCACGGGCCUGUCAAGUUCCUGGUCAUGGCUGCAGCCGCCCUCAAGGCCGACAAGGACAGGCCCAGGGACAGCCCGCCACCCGGCGCUGACCCCCAGGACGAUGAGCAGCGGGAUGCUCCCCUUGGCGAGGGGCCAGGGCUCUGCAUGGGCCGGGGCGGCCCCGACGCCGUCUGGCUGGGCACUUCGCCGGGCUCCGUCACCCAGGGCAGCGACGUCUCCUCCUCGUCCGGGUCCCCGACCCCUUCCCAGGGCUCCGGCUCCCUGGAGCCCCGGCCAGAGGAGAGCCUCGCCCAGGACCUCCUGCGCCUGCCCUGCACGUCCCCCAGCCGAGGCCGGCGGGCCCGGAGGCCCAGGGCCAGCUCCGUGCUGGUGGCCUGCGGGGGCCAGGGCCACCGGCGCGUGAGCAGGAAGGCCAGGCCACAGCGGCCGGAGGAGCUGGCCUCGUCCCUCAUGGUCUGGCAGAUCCCCCUGCUGCAUGUGUGAGCCAUGGGCCCGUUGGGGCCUUCCCGCCAAGGCCAACGCCCCGCGUGGGCUCACUGCUGCCGCGCUGCUUGGGGACGGAUCCCCGACCGUCUCUGGGGCCGAAAUGUGCAAUACCGUCCUGGGGGCAUCUCCAGGCAGCCCCCAGCUGCCCCUCGCGCAGCAGAGCCUGGGGUGAACGCUCGUGGAGCUGAGGGUGCUCCGCGUCUGCCCCGUUGCCCGCAGACUCGGAGCUCACAGGAAGUCUCGCAGAUGCGGCAGUGGAGGGGUAUUAACAGCCUCAGAGCAGUUUUACUUGAUUCAGAUUCACUACUUUUAUUUAUGUUGUAUAUCCUUUAACGCCAAAAUAGACUUCGUAACAAUGAAGAAAGCCGGUUAAAAUCUACCAGUCCAGGUGGUGUUAUUUGCUUUCUGAGUUGAGCUGGGUUUUCCAAAGUGCUAUAAUACGUGUAUUGUAUAUUUUUAACAAAGUAGUAUUUUUAUAUCGCAAUUUUCUAUUAAAAAAAUUAACAAAGUUUUAGUCAAUAUAUUAUGUGUAACAUUUUACAAAAAAUGUUUCCUUUGAACCAAAAUGCUCAAUUCCUAUCAAUAUUUAGAGUCAAGGGUCGACACCACAAUACCCAUGUCAGAGAUGCUUGUGUCUUCAUGUCACCGGAGAUGGGCAGACGGCGUUUCGGUCCAUCCUUCCCUGCUGUGUUGCACCUGUCGACCAGGAGCACUGUCUGGCUUUGAACGCGUCCUGGAGGAUGCAUGGUGCUGGUCGAGGGGGGAGGCCUUGCUGGCGGUGGACACAGGACACAGGCAGGGUGGCCCUCGGUCAGCACGGCCCUGGCACACAGGCUGCCUGCCUCGGUCACCAUGAGCGAGUGACCUGGGUUCCCUGUGCUCCACGUGUAUCUGUCUGUCAAUGUUUUACUCACUGGAUGGUUAAAAAAAAAAAAACAAACACACUGCAGGCAUUCACCCGAGACAGAUGUCUCAGCACUUUACAGGUGACUAAAAAUGCUAAUUUUGUGACCUAGCCAAAUAUUUUCCAAGGUGCAUAUGUGCCCCUAUGUGAGGUAAUAUCUCCCCAGGUUUCCUUAAACUGCUAGCUGCUAUUUUAUUUCAUAAAUAAAGUCUUUUUAUUUAAAAAUACA
rnacentral:lncRNA from 1 species